AAUUAUGAUCGUAGUCACGUAAUUACAUUGGUUCCUCAAGAAUCCUGUCUACCUUGAUAGAUCAUUAAGCAACGUGACUGGAAUCGCAUUGCGUCGUCGAAGGAAAAUUUUUUAUCUUUACUUUGUUGUAUGAAAAUGCUUCCACUGACUGUGUAGAGGUCGGACUGAGGGAAAUCUGUGUUCGCUUCUGGUUUCCAUAACAGUAGAACGAUGGAUCUUGAAUAAUAGAUACAUUUCUGUUAUGUAUUAUAAACACGUAACUAAAGAGAAUUCCAUAAUAUUACCCAAAAACAGUUCAUUCAAUUUUAAUUUCUGACUAGAAGAGACGAGAAAUUUGCUAAUGGAAAAUUUUCAUUUUUAAAAUGCUUUACAUUUAUUAAUACUCUUUUUUCGAAAACGAUACUUAUCGUACCAUCUAAUACUCAAAGAUCAAAGCCUAUCACAGUUUUCUGUUCCAUCUUUUUUAAAUGCUUAAAAUAUUAAACCUAAAUUUAAUAUUUUUUAUCAUUUUAUUAACACGAAAUCUGUUAUUAAUUAUUUACUGUAAUAUUGUACAAAUAUUUCAGUCUUCAUUUUGCCAUACUAAUACAUAAUGAUCGUGAUCUAUCUUGAUCAUCUAUCUUUUCCAAACUGAUAAUGUAUUCCUUCAUGGAAUUUACCAGUUUCACUUCCUUAUUGUUCAUUUAUCACCUAGUAUCGGUAACAGAUUAUGUUAUACGUGUUUCGUCGGCAAAACAAACAGAACUAAAGGAUCUAAGAAUCGCUCAGUAAGUAACAAUGCGAUUAUGGCUGAUUUCAGACAAUCUGCGGCAUUAAAUUUUCUCACGUUGUCUCGUAACGAUCGUGAUUUUCCUUCUGAUCCUUCAGAUUAAACGUCCUUGAACAUCGUUAACUAAAUCAUGAAUUUAUAACGAACCCCAUUUUUCAUUAUUUUUUAACAAGAUUCCAAAAGAUAUGAAAAGUAGACAAAACGGAGAGUUUAUCUGAACAUAAUAUUUAUCGAAUAAAUCGAAAUUUUAUUACACGUAUUUAAAUAUUUAAAUAAUCUAUCAUUCGAGUGUGUAAUUUGUAAUUAUAAAAUUUUAUAAUUCGUAAACUCGUAGAAGGCAAUUAAAAACUCAUGAAUACACAAGUGUGUGUCACUUCAUGUAUGUACUUGUUGUAUCGGGUAUUUAUGACAUUCAAAUAAUAAUAUCUACAUUUAGCUUUCGAAAAUUAACUUGCUAAUACGAAGCGUAUUUACCUUCAUAUUUUAUAAUAAACUUAAUUAUUUCGUUAGCAAUGAAACACGUGCGUCUCGCAGAAAUGUAAAAAAUCGUAGACAAAUAUAAUGUUCCUAGUUUUACUUAACUUCUUAAUUUUAUUUACAAUGAUUAUUGUAACGAAGUGUCUUCAAGUGGCAAUAACUCAAAUUUAAUCCAAUUUUUACGAACGCAUAAUCAAACUCGAAUUUUAUUCUUUAAGAUAUAGUUCAUUCGAGUAACUCUGAAACGUAAUUAAUUAAAGCUUAGAAACGAAAGAUUAAAAACAUUUAAUCCCCAAUGGUGUAUCUAUUCCACUCUAUAUUAAUAUUAAAAAAACAUACAAAUCGGCGUCAAAAGAUGUCAAUAUUUACAAUCAUAAAAAUCGCCACGUUAAAUCAUCUUUUCAUCUACUAAUCCCACUCAUAACAGCACACUCACCAAACAAACUAUCAAUGAUCGCAAACGAGUCACAAUGCCUUUCACAUUUUACGUAAGCAAAAAAAGAAUACAACGAUCGUGAUAGAAACUUUACAAGUGUCCCAUUUACAUAUGUGCGUGUCUGUGUCAAGACUGCAAUCAGUAAGAUUAAUCUCGUCUGUCGUCGACAACAUGCUUCUCCGCAACCUUACUAGUUGGCACCGAAUAAUGGUACAAUCGUCUCGUAACAUGUAUGAUUGAUAACUCGUCACGCUAGAGGGGCAUAUUCAUUACUCGUCGCUUCAGAUUGCAUCACGUUAAUAUUAAUUAGCGACAGAAACUACGAUAAAGGUCGCGAACUCUCGUAUGUUGAACCUUAACAUUGGGGCAGUGAACGAUAUUUAUGGAGUAGAGAUGAUAUAGCACUGCACGUACGUAGCUGUGCGCAUAGCAUCGGAUUCCAUUGACUGUUAAGGGAAUUAAAAUGAGAAGAGAGAAGAAUUUUCGUUAACGAUGCUACUAAACGGUAUCGAGAAGAAUCAUUUCGUCGAUGGUCUACAAUAAAAGAUUAUAAUACGUACUUGAGGCGGAUAAGUCUCCUACGUGAAAAUUACAUUGAAGAAGAAGAAGAGAAAGAGAGCGAUAUAGAACCAUGCGUUCCUUCAAGAAAAAAGAAGAAAAAAACCGACUAGAUGAAUUGGUACGACCGUUCGCGGAGAGAUGCGGUCGCGAGGACGCGUCAGCGAGAGGCGUAAAUUCUCGCGACGACUAUGUUAAUCGACGCCGCGAAAUAGUCGUUCCCCUGUUUCGGUUAAGACAACAGAGGUGGUUUAAUGAAUGUAACACUGUAUUAACAGGUUAACAUAGAAUGAUAUAUUUUACAAUAAUAUCAUGAAUAUGUUACAGAAAUUUGACUCGACUUUACGAUAUCUCUAGAUAAAUUCGUUUGCUCGUCAGAUUUGUCGAAGUGUCACGUUUGACUCGUCAGAAGGAACUGAUCCCCUUCGAUUAUUCCUUUGUCUCAUUUGGAAGAUGACCCCCACUAUGCUCGGGUCACGCCACCGCUCGCGCCUAUGAUCACGUAUGCCUCUUCUUGUGUGAAAAACGUAACGGUCAAAAAUCGACGUUUCUAGAGCUCGCUGCUUGGCAACAACUAUGCUCUCGUCGAUACAUUGUAUAUGAUCCGACGGGCAGAUAGGGCGGUCUGCCUGCGACACUGUAGGGCCGCGAGCGACGGUUAGAAAAUACAGCCUGUGGUAAGCCUCGUGGCGUAACACAGAUUUUACGUUAAUUUUAUUCGAAAGAUUUAGGUCAAAUUUUUCCUUCGAAGAAGAUUUUUCUGUCUUCAAAAGCGAUUUUCCAUCAUUAAUCGAAAUAUCAUUUUUGCAAUGGCUUGCUAGUGGGAUUACGUGUUAAAACGUUCAGCUUUAAAGAGGAUUAUCUCCAUCUCGGCGAGACUAGGCUCUCUAAAAAUUGAUGAAUCCUGUACAGACAAUAUCUAUAGUAAGCAACGCGUCGUCAAAACUUCAAAAUAUUAUUACCCCGCUUUUACGUCGCAGAUGUCGACAAAAAUAUUAAUGAGAUUUCCUAAGAUAAUCUCAUACUUAUUUAUAUCGUUAAUUCAAUCGACUAAGGAACAAGUGGUGAAGAACUAUUAGCAGAAUCCAGGGAAGGUUUUACUGGCAAGUUUUAUUACAAAACAUCUAAGAACGAUUUACAUCAUAAUAAAAAUAAUCGCGCUAUCUCGUCGCGUGACAUGCGCACGAGGUCUCUGCGAUUGCUAAUCGAUCUACAAAUACUUACACGUACAUAUGUACAAAACUCGUGGCCAUACACCACGUUGUCCAUAUUAUUUUCAUCUCGUUAAUAUAUUUUGUAUAUUUAUGAUGUUAUUAUUUUACUAGUAUAACGAUUAUUGCACUAUAUUCUAUAAGAUGGAGCUUUUGUACGAACAAUUUCAGGAACUUUUAUAACAAAGGAAAGUACUAAUUUUUAACAUUAACUACCCACGACAAUUUACGACAAUUAUUUUAACCUACGUUCUUACUCUAAUUUUUAUUCGCUCGCCUAAUGAUUGAAUUUUUAAUCAAUCAUUGUUGAUGAAAAAUUGCGAUGAUAAUUGCAUUGCGGAUCUUUAUGCAAAUGCAUAUUUUCGUGGAUACAAUAAUACAAUUGAAAGAUUUGAUACAAUCGAAAGGACUUGGGCAAAAGUAUGUUUCUAUCCAUUAAAUAUCAUCGAUAGUGCUGUACUUUUGGAUAUUUUACAAAAUUUUGCGUCAUACGCAUUCUAUAAAUUUUCGUAUCUUCGAAUCACCCAUAAUUGCAUAAAAAUCCGCUGUUUUGUGAUAAUGAAUAUUAAUGACGGUGGAAUUUAAGAUUCCUGGAUUCAGUAACUUGUCUUACUCUAAUACAUGUAUUGCACGUUUUUGGAAGACUAAAGAUUCUUUGCUCGAGAUCAACGCGAUAAAUAUUGUACUUCGUGGUGAACGUUUCGCUACAGCCUUUCGACCUCUGUGAUCGAGUUUUCGCUUUUCCUCGAUUUUAUACUCGAUCUCCGUAGCAUGCUACUCCUUAAAGGUUCACCGCGAAGCGACGCUCUUGUCGUGUAAAAU